rnacentral:lncRNA from 8 species
AUGGAGACCAUCUACCACCAGACACCAUGGAGACCAUCUACCACCAGACACCAUGGAGACCAUCUACCACCAGACACCAUGGAGACCAUCUACCACCAGGCACCAUGGAGACCAUCUACCACCAGAUACCAUGAGACCAUCCACCACCAGACACCAUGGAGACCAUCCACCACCAGGCACCAUGGAGACCAUCUACCACCAGACACCAUGACGACCAUCUACCACCAGACACCAUGGAGACCAUCUACCACCAGACACCAUGGAGACCAUCUACCACCAGGCACCAUGGAGACCAUCUACCACCAGGCACCAUGGAGACCAUCUACCACCAGACACCAUGGAGACCAUCUACCACCAGGCACCAUGGAGACCAUCUACCACCAGGCACCAUGGAGACCAUCUACCACCAGACACCAUGGAGACCAUCCACCACCAGACACCAUGGAGACCAUCUACCACCAGACACCAUGGAGACCAUCCACCACCAGAUAUCUAUUCAUCCACCACCAGACACCAUGGAGACCAUCUACCACCAGAUAUCUAUCCAUCCACCACCAGAUAUCUAUUCAUCCACCACCAGAUAUCUAUUCCUCCACCACCAGAUAUCUAUUCAUCCACCACCAGAUAUCUAUUCAUCCACCACCAGAUAUCUAUUCAUCCACCACCAGAUAUCUAUUCAUCCACCACCAGAUAUCUAUUCAUCCACCACCAGACACCAUGGAGACCAUCCACCACCAGAUAUCUAUUCAUCCACCACCAGAUAUCUAUUCAUCCACCACCAGAUAUCUAUUCAUCCACCACCAGAUAUCUAUCCAUCCACCACCAGAUAUCUAUUCAUCCACCACCAGAUAUCUAUCCAUCCACCACCAGAUAUCUAUCCAUCCACCACCAGAUAUCUAUUCAUCCACCACCAGAUAUCUAUUCAUCCACCACCAGAUAUCUAUUCAUCCACCACCAGAUAUCUAUUCAUCCACCACCAGAUAUCUAUUCAUCCACCACCAGACAUCAUGGAGACCAUCCACCACCAGAUAUCUAUUCAUCCACCACUGCUAUUUAUUUUCUGCUUCUUUUUUUUUUUUUUUUCACCUGAUCAACCAGCUGAGCUUCAUAAAGAUGGUUUUAUAA